rnacentral:rRNA from 1 species
AGGGUUUGAUUAUGGCUCAGAUUGAACGCUGGCGGCAGGCCUAAUACAUGCAAGUCGAACGGUAACAUAAGAAAAGCUUGCUUUUCUUGAUGACGAGUGGCGGACGGGUGAGUAAUAUUUGGGAAACUACCUGAUAGAGGGGGACAACAGUUGGAAACGACUGCUAAUACCGCAUACAGCCUCAGGGUGAAAGAAGCGAUUCGCUAUCAGAUGUGCCCAAACGGGAUUAGCUAGUAGGUGAGGUAAAGGCUCACCUAGGCGACGAUCUCUAGCUGGUCUGAGAGGAUGAUCAGCCACAUUGGGACUGAGACACGGCCCAG